GGGACACUGAGAAACUCUUUUCCAAUCAGAGAUUUGAUGCUGUGAUUCACUUUGCUGGUCUUAAAACUGUGGGUGAAAGUGUUGGAAACCCUCGUCGUUACUUUGAUAAUAACUUAGUUGGAACCAUCAAUCUGUAUGAGACCAUGGCAAAAUACAACUGCAAAGUGAUGGUCUUUUCAUCCUCUCCAACAGUUUAUGGCCAAC